rnacentral:rRNA from 1 species
CCUACGGGAGGCAGCAGUGGGGAAUAUUGCGCAAUGGGCGAAAGCCUGACGCAGCGACGCCGCGUGAGGGAUGAAGGUCUUCGGAUCGGUAACCUCUGUCAGCAGGGAAGAACGGUCACUGUGCUAAUCAGCAGUGAAUUGACGGUACCUGCAAAGGAAGCACCGGCUAACUCCGUGCCAGCAGCCGCGGUAAUACGGAGGGUGCGAGCGUUAAUCGGAAUUACUGCGCGUAAGGGGCUCGUAGGCGGGAUGUCAAGUCAAGGGUGAAAUCCCCGCGCUCAACGUGGGAACUGCCUUUGAAACUGGCAAACUGGAGUGUGUGAGAGGAUAGUGGAAUUCCAGGUGUAGGAGUGAAAUCCGUAGAUAUCUGGAGGAACAUCAGUGGCGAAGGCGACUAUCUGGCACAUAACUGACGCUGAGGAGCGAAAGCGUGGGUAGCAAACAGGAUUAGAUACCCGGGUAGUC